rnacentral:rRNA from 1 species
UGCAAGUCGAGGGGUAUAGGUUUUCGGACCUAGAGACCGGCGCACGGGUGCGUAACGCGUAUGCAAUCUACCUUUCACAAAGGGAUAGCCCAGAGAAAUUUGGAUUAAUACCUUAUAGUAAUACGACUUGGCAUCAAGAUGUAUUUAAAGAUUUAUCGGUGAAAGAUGAGCAUGCGUCCCAUUAGCUUGUUGGUAAGGUAACGGCUUACCAAGGCAACGAUGGGUAGGGGUCCUGAGAGGGAGAUCCCCCACACUGGUACUGAGACACGGACCAGACUCCUACGGGAGGCAGCAGUGAGGAAUAUUGGACAAUGGGCGCAAGCCUGAUCCAGCCAUGCCGCGUGCAGGAUGACGGUCCUAUGGAUUGUAAACUGCUUUUGUACAGGAAGAAACCCUUUCACGUGUGGAAGAUUGACGGUACUGUAAGAAUAAGGAUCGGCUAACUCCGUGCCAGCAGCCGCGGUAAUACGGAGGAUCCAAGCGUUAUCCGGAAUCAUUGGGUUUAAAGGGUCCGUAGGCGGUCAAGUAAGUCAGUGGUGAAAGCCCAUCGCUCAACGGUGGAACGGCCAUUGAUACUGCUUGACUUGAAUUAUUAGGAAGUAACUAGAAUAUGUAGUGUAGCGGUGAAAUGCUUAGAGAUUACAUGGAAUACCAAUUGCGAAGGCAGGUUACUACUAAUGGAUUGACGCUGAUGGACGAAAGCGUGGGUAGCGAACAGGAUUAGAUACCCUGGUAGUCCACGCCGUAAACGAUGGAUACUAGCUGUUGGGAGCAAUCUCAGUGGCUAAGCGAAAGUGAUAAGUAUCCCACCUGGGGAGUACGUUCGCAAGAAUGAAACUCAAAGGAAUUGACGGGGGCCCGCACAAGCGGUGGAGCAUGUGGG